rnacentral:rRNA from 1 species
GACAGAGGGGGCAAGCGUUGCUCGGAAUCACUGGGCGUAAAGGGCGCGUAGGCGGGGAUGGCAAGUCAGUCGUGAAAAUCUCUCGGCUCAACCGAGAAAACGUCGGCUGAUACUGCCCGUUUCUUUGAGGGGAUGCAGAGGGAGACUGGAAAUUUCCCCGGUGUAGCGGUGAAAAUGUGUAGAGAUCGGGGAAGGAACACCCGGUGGCGAAGGGCGGGGUCUCUGGGGCAUUUUUUUCCCUGACGCUGAGGCGCGAAAAGCGUGGGGGGGGAGCAAAAACGGGG